rnacentral:rRNA from 1 species
GACGAACCGUGCGAACGUUGUUCGGAUUCGAUUGGGUGCUUAAAGGGCGCGUAGGCGGCCGCUCAAGUCGGGGGGUGAAAUCUUUCAGCUCAACUGGAAAAUAGCCUCCGAUACUGGUCGGCUGGAGGGAGAUAGGGGUGCGCGGAACUUCCGGUGGAGCGGUGAAAUGCGUAGAUAUCGGAAGGAACGCCGGUGGCGAAAGCGGCGCACUGGAUCUCGAUCUGACGCUGAGGCGCGAAAGCCAGGGGAGCAAAGC